UUGAAUUACUGAAAUAAAUGGACUUUUCCACGACAAUCUAAAUCAUUGAGAUGCACCUGUAGGGAAGGAUUCUCCAACUCAAGUUGGUAUUGAUGGCGUUCCUCAAAGCAGUUUGGGAACCAGCCUAACCACCCUAAACUGGGAAAAUACUCCAGGAGCGUCAAGCCCAACAAAUAACCAUCCAGCCAUAAGACAUUCAUCUGAGGAGAAAGGAUUGGGAAGAGUUACAUCAAGGGCUUGCUGAACUUCAACGAGAAGUUAUUUUGCAGCAGAAGAGGAAAGUGGAGUUGGAAAUUUCUAAAUUAGAAAUGGAAAAGGAAAACUUGAAUAAGCAGAACAUAAUACUCAACACAAAAUUAACAAACUUGCUCAAGAGGUUUUAAUAGCUUUACAGACAAUAAGUGAACCAUAACAAAAACCUUAAUCUGUUAGAAUAUUUAUUCAAAUAAUUUGCAAUAUACAGAAAUACAUACAUA